GGCGCCCACCGUAAGCCUCCCGGGCCUUGUGAACCUGCAAACCCAAGUCUGAGAGACGAUCCGCCUUCAGCGCUUUCCAGCUUGGCAGAGAGGCUUUCCCGGCGGGGAUCUUUGGUUGGCGCUGGCGAUGCGCGGGGAAGAAAGGCGAGGAGCGGCGUCCAGGCUGGGUGAUGUCCCAGCACGAGUAGGCGGGAUGCGCUCGCUUGGUCCUCCGGGCGCCCGGUCCCUGCCCGCGUCGCGCGCCCACCCCUGGGGACGAGAAGGCGGCCGCCUGAGGACCCCCGCCCGCGACCUCCGCGAGUCUGGAGCGCAGAGGACAGGGUCUGGCUGCUCUUUGGCCUUGGAUGGAAAGUGGGGAAUUGGGUGGGGGGCUGCGGACCCCUUAACGUGGAUUACUUGGUGUGUAUCAGCUGGGCUCAGAAGACCCACGACCUCUUCUCCAUCCGUGGAUUGAUUUGUUCUGCUUAACAGCUGGGUCGCCAAGCUGGAGACCCAUGCAGGAGACCUCUCCAGGUACACAUAUUUCCUGCUACUGAAUGGCUUAGACUGGGAUUUGCAAGGAACUACGAAGUCCAAGACCUUUGCCUUUCUUUUAGAAGAAGGCACCAGCUGGUUCUCCAAUGUUGAAGGUCUUCUCCAGAGAUGAACUCUGAAAGCCACAUGUUGAGAUGGCCCCAUUACAGGAUGGAGAGCACCUGAACCCCCAAGUUAUGGACUAGAAGAAGACAGUUGCCCUGGAAAAUCAUCUGACCCACAUUGGACUUUAUGUGAGGGGGAAAUAAACCUUUAUUAUGUUAAGCUACACAAUAAUAAAUAACAACAAUAA
rnacentral:lncRNA from 1 species